rnacentral:rRNA from 1 species
GCUGUAAUGAUUAAUAGGGAUAGUCGGGGGCGUCAGUAUUCAAUUGUCAGAGGUGAAAUUCUUGGAUUUAUUGAAGACUAACUACUGCGAAAGCAUUCGCCAAGGAUGUUUUCAUUAAUCAGUGAACGAAAGUUAGGGGAUCGAAGACGAUCAGAUACCGUCGUAGUCUUAACCAUAAACUAUGCCGACUAGGGAUCGGACGGUGGUUUUUUUAUGCCCCGUUCGGCACCUUACNANAAAUCAAAGUUUUUGGGCUCGGGGGGGAGUAUGGUCGCAAGGCUGAAACUUAAANAAAUUGACGGAAGGGCACCACCAGGCGUGGAGCCUGCGGNUUAAUUUGACUCAACACGGGGAAACUCACCAGGUCCAAAA